rnacentral:rRNA from 1 species
AUUGAACGCUGGCGGAAUGCUUUACACAUGCAAGUCGAACGGUAGAGGGGGCAACCCCUCGAGAGUGGCGAACGGGUGAGUAAUAUAUCGGAACGUGCCCAGUCGUGGGGGAUAACGUAGCGAAAGUUACGCUAAUACCGCAUACGAUCUAAGGAUGAAAGCGGGGGAUCGCAAGACCUCGCGCGAUUGGAGCGGCCGAUAUCAGAUUAGGUAGUUGGUGGGGUAAAGGCUCACCAAGCCAACGAUCUGUAGCUGGUCUGAGAGGACGACCAGCCACACUGGAACGGAGACACGGUCCAGACUCCUACGGGAGGCAGCAGUGAGGAAUUUUGGACAAUGGACGCAAGUCUGAUCCAGCCAUUCCGCGUGCAGGAUGAAGGCCCUCGGGUUGUAAACUGCUUUUGUACGGAACGAAAAGGUCUCUCUUAAUACGGGGGGCUCAUGACGGUACCGUAAGAAUAAGCACCGGCUAACUACGUGCCAGCCGCCGCCGUAA